rnacentral:rRNA from 1 species
UAUGAUCUGAAGUCAGGUGGGAC